rnacentral:rRNA from 1 species
CAUGCAUGGGCGCAGCCUGAUGCAGCGACGCCGCGUGAGGGAUGACGGCCUUCGGGUUGUAAACCUCUUUCAGUAGGGAAGAAGCGAAAGUGACGGUACCUGCAGAAGAAGCGCCGGCUAACUACGUGCCAGCAGCCGCGGUAAUACGUAGGGCGCAAGCGUUAUCCGGAAUUAUUGGGCGUAAAGAGCUCGUAGGCGGUUUGUCGCGUCUGCCGUGAAAGUCCGGGGCUCAACCCCGGAUCUGCGGUGGGUACGGGCAGACUAGAGUGAUGUAGGGGAGACUGGAAUUCCUGGUGUAGCGGUGAAAUGCGCAAAUAUCAGGAGGAACACCGAUGGCGAAGGCAGGUCUCUGGGCAUUAACUGACGCUGAGGAGCGAAAGCAUGGGGAGCGAACAGGAUUAGAUACCCUGGUAGUCCAUGCCGUAAACGUUGGGCACUAGGUGUGGGGGACAUUCCACGUUUUCCGCGCCGUAGCUAACGCAUUAAGUGCCCCGCCUGGGGAGUACGGCCGCAAGGCUAAAACUCAAAUGAAAUUGACGGA